UAUUUUGAAAACGACCUGGGGGAUAACUACUACUUGAAUAAAAUUUAAAAAUUGUUUAGGGUUGGUGUAAAUACUACUUGGAAAUAUAUUUUGAAAACGACCUGGGGGGAUAACUACUACUUGAAUAAAAUUUAAAAAAUUGUUUAGGGUUGGUGUAAAUACUACUUGGAAAUAUAUUUUGAAAACGACCUGGGGGGAUAACUACUACUUGAAUAAAAUUUAAAUUUGUUUAGGGUUGGUGGCGCAUACUUGGAAAUAUAUUUUGUCCACGACCUGGGGGCCUAACUACUACUUGAAUAAAAUUUAGUAAAUUGUUUAGGGUUGGUGUGUGCUUGCGAAUUGUAAAAUAAAGUGGUUGUUUGCUGUGGAAAUGGAAAGGAAAAAUGUAUAUGAAAUAAAUAAUUCUCGACUUAGCAGAUCUCAAGUCCUUCCGGUUUCUUGGUGCCCUUUUAUGUAAAUUCUUCGCAUCCAAUCAACAUGUUUAUGGUGUAAUUUUCUGUGAUGCAUUUACUUGCUUGGUGCUUGGGGAUGUUUGAUGCAGAUUUGUAUCCGCCGUUUUGAGGCCAGCUUGCUGGUACCCAAACGGCGUUAGCAUUUUUUGUCUUGGACAUUUGAGUAUGGCUUACGGGCAUUUAUUGGUUCGAUCUAGGUGUAAGUUACGGUCGCAUGCGACACGUGCUUUUCAAUUAGUUCGGUCCAGUUAAUGCUCUCGUACUCCUUCCCCAUGUAAAAGCCGGUCAUCUAUCCGACCCGUCUUGAAACACGGACCAAGGAGUUUAUCGUGUGCGCAAGUCUUUGGGUGUUAAAAACCUAAAAGCGAAAUGAAAGUAAAUGGCUCUUUAGAGUCUGAUGUGCGAUCUUGUAAAAAAGUGCGGCAUGGCCCCAUUCUAACUGUUUACAGUAGGGUGGCGGAAGAGCGUACGCGGUGAGACCCGAAAGAUGGUGAACUAUUCCUGAGCAGGACGAAGCCAGAGGAAACUCUGGUGGAAGUCCGAAGCGGUUCUGACGUGCAAAUCGAUCGUCUGACUUGGGUAUAGGGGCGAAAGACUAAUCGAACCAUCUAGUAGCUGGUUCCCUCUGAAGUUUCCCCCAGGAUAGCUGGAGCUCACGAGUAGUUAUACUCGGUAAAGCGAAUGAUUAGAGGACUUGGGAACGAAAUGUUCUUAACCUAUUCUCAAACUCUAAAUGGGUAUGAUGUCAAAGUUGCUUGAUUUUGAACUUUGGCGUUGAAUACGAGCUCCAAGUGGGCCAUUUUUGGUAAGCAGAACUGGCGAUGUGGGAUGAACCAAACGCGGAGUUGCGGUGCCAAAGUGCCCGCUCAUUAGACCCCAUAAAAGGUGUUGGUUGAUACAGACAGCAGGACGGUGGCCAUGGAAGUCGGAAUCCGCUAAGGAGUGUGUAACAACUCACCUGCCGAAUCAACUAGCCCUGAAAAUGGAUGGCGCUGGAGCGGGCCACCUAUACUCUGCCGUCAUAUGCUUGUAUUUUUGAGUCUUGCAAUGACGUGUAAGAGGGUCGUAGUGGUUGUGUUGAAGGCUUUGGGUGUGCACCCAGCUGGAGCUUCCACUAGUGCAGAUCUUGGUGGUAGUAGCAAAUAUUCAAGUGAGAUCCUUGAAGACUGAAGUGGAGAAGGGUUCCACGUGAACAGCAGUUGAAUGUGGGUCAGUCGAUCCUAAGGCACCGGCUAAAGCCGUCUAGACACUGCGGGGAGAUGAGAUACUUAACGGUAUUUUGUCCACCCGGUUGCCGAAAGGGAAGUGGGUUAAUAUUCCCACACCAGGCAUGGGAGAUGGUGAUCCGCAAGGAUUACUUUGCGCGGUGACGCAAACGAACUCGUAGACCUCGUGUGGAGUCCGGGCCAGAGUUCUCUUUUCUGGUUUAGAGAUCAUGUCCCUGGAAGUGGCUCAGCCUGAGAUAGGGAUGCUGGUCUCGUAAAGCGCAGCGGUUCCUGUUGUGUCUCGUGUGCUCCACAUGAGCCGUGAAAAUGCGAGGGAGGCAAUUUAAAAUCUCCUGCCUGAUCGUACCCAUAUCCGCAGCAGGUCUCCAAGGUGAACAGCCUCUAGUCGAUAGAAUAAUGUAGGUAAGGGAAGUCGGCAAAUUAGAUUCGUAACUUCGGGAAAAGAAUUGGCUCUAAAGGUUGGGUCAAUCGGGCUGUUGUGUGAAACAGGUGGACUUUGCUCGUGGCUGCUUGCGCUUCCUUUCGGGGCGGCGCUUGUGGACUAGUAGUGAGGACUGCUUGUGGAGCGCUUCAGCUGCGUGCUAUUUCGCAAGAUAUAGUACUUCGAUUGGCGCUGAACAACCAGUUUAGAACUGGCACGAACUCCGGGAAUCCGACUGUCUAAUUAAAACAGAGGAGACGGAUGGUCCUUGCAGGACGUUGACCGUGUCUGAUUUCUGCCCAGUGCUCUGAAUGUUAAGCCAAGGAAACUUGAUUAAGCGCGGGUAAACGGCGGGAGUAACUAUGACUCUCUUAAGGUAGCCAAAUGCCUCGUCGGCUAACUACCGACGCGCACGAAUGGAUCAACGAGAUUCCCACUGUCCCUAUCUACUAUCUAGCGAAACCACAGCCAAGGGGAAACCACAGCCUGCUUAGUACGAGAGGAACCGCAGGUUCAGACAUUUGGUUCAUGUGCUUGGUCGAUAGGCCAAUGGCGCGAAGCUACCAUCUGAGGGAUUAUGACUGAACGCCUCUAAGUCAGAAUCCCGCCCAGUCAUGAUAGCAAUAUAUAUCGCUCUCCGGUGUCGGAAGGCAAAAUGUAUGCCACUUUUGUGGUAGUACAAGCCCCAGUAUCUGGCAUUUUCUUUCUACUAUAAUUGGUAGUUGGUUGCUAAAAGCUUAGCACUCCUCGUGCAGGUGUAACGUCGGGGCGCAAAAUCACUUGUAUACGACUUGAAUACUGGUCAGGGGGUUGUAUCCAGUAGAGCAGCUCUUCGCUGCGAUCUGUUGAGACUUAGCCCUUGAUCGGAUGAUUUGUCUUUUUUAUAUACUAUAGACCUGUUUAUUUUUUUACUAUCGGCCCAAUAUACCCCCCAAGCCCAAGCACCGAUAAUAACCAGCGCCCAAAACCAGAUUUCACCAGCACAUCGACAAAAGUUUAAAAAAUAAUUAAAAUUUUAUUAAUAACAAUUUUUUAUGUUAAUUUAUUGUUCAAAAACUACUUGGAAAUAUAUUUUGAAAACGACCUGGGGGGAUAACUACUACUUGAAUAAAAUUUAAAAAUUGUUUAGGGUUGGUGUAAAUACUACUUGGAAAUAUAUUUUGAAAACGACCUGGGGGGAUAACUACUACUUGAAUAAAAUUUAAAAAUUGUUUAGGGUUGGUGUAAAUACUACUUGGAAAUAUAUUUUGAAAACGACCUGGGGGAUAACUACUACUUGAAUAAAAUUUAAAAAUUGUUUAGGGUUGGUGUAAAUACUACUUGGAAAUAUAUUUUGAAAACGACCUGGGGGGGAUAACUACUACUUGUAUAAAAUUUAAAAAAACAAUUUUUAAAUUUUAACAAUUUUCUAAACAAUUUUUAAAUUUUAUUCAAGUAGUAGUUAUCCCCCCAGGUCGUUUUCAAAAUAUAUUUCCAAGUAGUAUUUACACCAACCCUAAACAAUUUUUAAAUUUUAUUCAAGUAGUAGUUUUUAAAUUUUAACAAUUUUCUAAACAAUUUUUAAAUUUUAUUCAAGUAGUAGUUAUCCCCCCCCCCCUUUUUAUGAUUGAAUUUUAAAUUUUAUUCAAGUAGUAGUUAUCCCCCCCCUUUUUAUGAUUGAAUUUUUUCAAAUAUGAAAGGAUAGUUAAUUUUAAGCGUUUCUUAUAACUUUAUCAUACUAUUCUGUCAAUUUUAUUAGGGUUGAUGUUUUCGAAUAAUUAGGGUUAGGGUUGAUGUUUUCGAAUAAUAAUACCGUAUUUACUUGAUUAAUUCCACUGAGGAAUUAUUUCUUUACCCAUCCGUGGCAUGGGGAAUUAUAGGGUGGGGAAUUAUUCGAGUUUUAAAAUUUGAACGUGUAUUAGGGUAUUCGAGGGUGGGGAAUUAUUAUUUCAAAUUAUCCCUGGCAUGUGGAAUUAAUUGAAAGUUGGGAAUUAUUCGAGGGUGGGGAAUUAAUCGAUAAAAUAGGUAAUUCCAAUUUACUAAGUUGUUAUUUAUUUUUGGGAAUAUCGAAAUUCAAGGGAAAAACGUUUUCAUAGAAGAGUUGAACGUGUGCUUAAAAGGAUCAAUGUGUUUAUUUACAUUUAUUUAUGGUUUAACAUUAAAUUUUUUGGAUUUUCAGAAUGAUACAAGGGUUGAACUGUUUAUUUGUUUACACAGAAGAGUAAAAGAAUUUGAGAAUUUGAAUAAAAUCCGACUGUUGGAGCAUAAUGAAAUAGAAAAAAAUUAGGGUGUCUUAUUAUUUCUUAACACACUGUAUAUACAUAUAGUAUAUAUCCAGUUUUAAAGGGCACUUUCUAUUUUUUAUUGAAAACAUUGAUAUUCUCUAUUACACAUUUUUAUUAUUUAUUUGUUAAAAAAAUUUAAAAAUUUUAAAAAUUUUUUUAAAUUCUAUUUUGCUUUGAAUUUUUCUUCUUUUUUUAAAUUUCUCUUUUAAUUCAAAUUAUCAUUUUGUUAGACUUUUGAUAUCUGCCCAAAUAUUAUUAAGGAGGAGGACAACACCAAGAAGAGCCUCUCCCACUCACAAUAAUAUGUUUACAUCUUGUGUAUUUUACAAAUCUCCCACCAACUCUGUCAGGUCCAAUAUAGUCUCUACACUCUGGCGGAUUGUUACCACCAAGUCCUCUACAGGCUGAAAUCAAAAAUUGAUCAAAAUUUUUUUAGAUUAAAAUUAUCAAUUUAAUUUUUUUAAAUGGUUUAGUAAAAUUAUCAAACCUUUCCCUGUGUUAUAACCACCGGGACAUCUGGCAGCAGCAGCUAAAAAUUAAAAAAAAAUUUUGUUAAGUAUAGCAAUUAGAAUGUAGUGUUGUAGUAAUUUUAAGUCUCUAUGAAAAUUAAAUUUGAAAAAAUUAAUAAUAAUAUUUUAAAAGUAGAGGUCAUUAAGGCGAAGUAUAAAUUGCUUGCUUUUUUUAAUUAAUGUCGGUAAAAUAAUUUUAUUUUAAUUUUUGAUUAAAUAUAAAUUUAGAAAAAAUGGCAAUAUUAAAAACCUUUUUAAAUUAAAAUCAAAUUUAUGACUAAAAAUGUUAAAUAAAAAUAUUCCGGUACCCCUCAGUUGAGUCCCGACUCAACUGAGUCCCGGACGCUAUAACUUUUGAAGGGAUGGUCAAUCUUUUUUGAUCAUGAUACCUUUCGUUAGGUCAUUAAAUAGGCUACAAUAUACCAAACGAUCAAAAUUCCUGACCGACUGUUAAAAAGUUAUAAUCUAUAAAGUGCCGAAAAAUCAGAUUUUUUUGAAAAAGUUAGUUUUUAGAUCAUAACUUUUUAACAAAUCGAUCGAAAAUUUUGAUUUUUUUGUUAUAUUGUAGUUAUCAACCGUAUUAUGUAGUUAUCAACCGUAAAUUAUCAACCCGUACUUGAGCUAUAGGCCAGGACUCAGUUGAGACGUGACUCAGCUGAACUGUCUGAAAAUAUUCAUGUCUUUGUAAUGUCCUCAAUUUUUUAAUUAAUUAAUAAAACUAUUUUUGCUAUAAUUUUUAGACUUAAUUUAAAUUUAAAAUUAAUUUUAAAUUUAGAAAAACCUGUCUCAAACAACAGUUGGUUAAUUAAAAAGAUACACAAACACAAAGAAAAUAAUCCACGCAUUAUUUUAUUUUAAUUAAUAUCGGGUAGGAUUAAACUUGAGGAAAUAAAAAUGUUUUAAAAUCUUAAAUAUCAAGCUUGUUUAAAUACAUAAAAUUUUGUUUUGUUGGAAUGAAUUUUUGAUUUUUUAAGCUUCAAAAAAAAUUUUUUUAUGACGAACGUGGAUAAAUAACAUCGACAAAAGUUUAAAAAAUAAUUAAAAUUUUAUUAAUAACAAUUUUUUAUGUUAAUUUAUUGUUCAAAAAGAGUGAUUAUUCAAAUUAUUUCAUUUUUUAUAAACUUGGUUUUUAAAAUUUAUCGUUAUAUUUCCUUCUAUCAUACACAAACAGAUAUAUUUAAGCGUAAAUAACUUACUAAUCAAAUAAAUAAGCAUUAAAAACAUUAGUAAGAAUAAAUAAAUAUUAUUUAAUAUUUACUACAUAAAUUAUAAAUUUUAGUGUUAGAAAAUAAUAAAUAAUAAUUUUUUAUCUUAGGAAUUAAAAUUAAAUUACUUAAUUAAAAUUAUUAAUUAAAAAUAAAUUACUGAUAAUGUAAUUUUUAAUUUUUUUUAAAUUAGAAAAUCUUCUUAUUUUCUAUUCUUAUUUUACCCCGUCUAUUCUUAUUUUAUCUUUUGUGGUUCAUAUACUUUGGUAGGUCCAUUCAGGUCUAUUUUCCAUGAAGAAGUCCAAGUCUUUGAGUCAUACACCCUAUUAACUGGCAUUUUUUCAGAUGACAAUCGGGACUACUCUCUCCCUUCGCCCUGUAGGUACAAGAAAAAUCGGUUCUUUAUGAAAUGAAGUCCCAAAUCAAAUUUUUUCCAUCUUCUUAAAAUGAGUAAUUUCCUUUACAUUUCCCUCUAUUUUUGAUUUGUCCCGUAAGGCACAAAGAUUAACUGAACGUGUGUUCGUGUGUUUAUGACCGUGUGUGUCCGUGUUUUCUCUGUCUGUGUCUGUCCGAGCUCGUCCGUGUUUGUCUGUCCCAGUACGUCCGUGUUUUGCCUGCCCGAAUUCGUCCGUGUUUGUCUGUCCGAGUCGUCCGAACCGGUUCUAAAUCGGUUCUGAACCUUUGCCGGUUCCACGGUUCGUGUUCCAAACCGCUCCCGGACCUUAACCGGUUCCACAGACACGGACGGACUCGGACAGACAAAACACGGACGAACUCGGACAGACACAGACAGAGAAAACACGGACACACGGUCAUAAACACACGUACACACACGUUCAGUUAAUCUUUGU
rnacentral:rRNA from 1 species